rnacentral:rRNA from 1 species
UACGGGGGGAGCAAGCGUUGUUCGGAUUUACUGGGCGUAAAGGGCGCGUAGGCGGUCAGCACAAGUCAGUUGUGAAAUCUCCGGGCUUAACUCGGAAAGGUCAACUGAUACUGUGCGACUAGAGUGCGGAAGGGGCAACUGGAAUUCUCGGUGUAGCGGUGAAAUGCGUAGAUAUCGAGAGGAACACCUGCGGCGAAGGCGGGUUGCUGGGCCGACACUGACGCUAAGGCGCGAAAGCCAGGGGAGCGAACGGG